GACUCCGUGGCGCAAUGGUAGCGCGUCUGACUCAAGAUCAGAAGGAUGCGUUUUCACAGUCACUCCGUGGCGCAAUGGUAGCGUUGUCCUUUCUCCAGAUCACGAAGGUUGUGUGUUCAAAUCACGUCGGCA
rnacentral:tRNA from 1 species